rnacentral:rRNA from 1 species
UACGAAGGGUGCAAGCGUUAAUCGGAAUUACUGGGCGUAAAGCGCGCGUAGGUGGUUUGUUAAGUUGGAAGUGAAAGCCCCGGGCUUAACCUGGGAAUGGCUUUCAAAACUGGCGAGCUAGAGUACGGUAGAGGGUAGUGGAAUUUCCUGUGUAGCGGUGAAAUGCGUAGAUAUAGGAAGGAACAUCAGUGGCGAAGGCGACUACCUGGACUGAUACUGACACUGAGGUGCGAAAGCGUGGGGAGCAAACAGG